rnacentral:rRNA from 1 species
UACGUAGGGGGCUAGCGUUGUCCGGAUUUAUUGGGCGUAAAGAGCGAUGUAGGCGGCCAGGUAGGUUCUGCUGUGAAAACUCGAAGGCUCAACCUCGAGACGUCGGCGGGAAACCAUCUGGGCUAGAGUCCGGAAGGGGCGAGUGGAAUUCCUGGUGUAGCGGUUGAAAGUGCGCAGAUAGUCAGGAGGAACACCGGUGGCGAAGGCGGGUCUCUGGGCCGAGUGACUGACGUGGAGGAGCGAAAGCGUGGGGAGGCGAACAGGA